rnacentral:lncRNA from 1 species
UUUCCCAAAUGUGCAAUCGAAUUAUUAUGCCUCUGUCAUUAUUUAUACAUGUAUCUUUUACGAGACACAACUAUUUUCGUCGGAAAGCUCUUCACUUCAUAUUAUGACGUAAAUUAUACACCAGUGUCAGAAUCUUUAUUACAUGUAUCUCCCUUUACCGGAAUUAUUCGCCUUGUAUUUGUAAUAAUUAUGCAAAAAUGAUACCCAGUGAAUUCGUUUUUUCCCUUUCAUUGGACGCUUUUUCACAGGCCACAUUUCAGAUCACCAAAUCUCCUGAUUUAGUAAUUAAUGGCAUGAGCGACUCAAAAACACGUUCCAGUUUCUCACAUGAUUUUCAUUGAGACGUUGUGGUCAUAAAUAUUCUUAUGAAUGACUUAUCUGAUAUAAGUGGAUUAAUCAUUCGAUAUAUUUAAUCAAUUCAAACAGUCGUCUG